UACGAAGAGUGCAAGCGUUGUUCGGAAUUACUGGGCGUAAAGGGCUCGUGGGCGGCCAACUAAGUCGGAUGUGAAAUCCCCAGGCUUAACCUGGGAACUGCAUCCGAUACUGGAUGGCUUGAAUCCGGGAGAGGGAUGCAGAAUUCCAGGUGUAGCGGUGAAAUGCGUAGAUAUCUGGAGGAAUACCGGUGGCGAAGGCGGCAUCCUGGACCGGCAUUGACGCUGAGGAGCGAAAGCUAGGGGAGCAAACGGG
rnacentral:rRNA from 1 species